rnacentral:rRNA from 1 species
GACGAACGCUGGCGGCGUGCUUAACACAUGCAAGUCGAACGGAAAGGCCCUGCUUUUGUGGGGUGCUCGAGUGGCGAACGGGUGAGUAACACGUGAGUAACCUGCCCUUGACUUUGGGAUAACUUCAGGAAACUGGGGCUAAUACCGGAUAGGAGCUCCUGCUGCAUGGUGGGGGUUGGAAAGUUUGGGCGGUUGGGGAUGGACUCGCGGCUUAUCAGCUUGUUGGUGGGGGAGUGGCUUACCAAGGCUUUGACGGGUAGCCGGCCUGAGAGGGUGACCGGCCACAUGGGGACUGAGAUACGGCCCAGAGGCCUACGGGAGGCAGCAGUGGGGAAUAUUGCACAAUGGGCGGAAGCCUGAUGCAGCAACGCCGCGUGUGGGAUGACGGCCUUCGGGUUGUAAACCGCUUUCGCCUGUGACGAAGCGUGAGUGACGGUAAUGGGUAAAGAAGCACCGGCUAACUACGUG